rnacentral:rRNA from 1 species
AGCCUAACUCUAGCCCUACCCCAAAAAACUAACCCUCCUUGCUUCCUAAAAUAAAACAUUCUCCUCCCAACCCUAGUAUAGGCGAUAGAAAAGCCCACCCAAGGCGCUAUAGAGAAUAUGUACCGUAAGGGAAAAAUGAAAUAUUAAUGACAUCCCAAGCAACAAACAGCAAAGACCAAUCCUUGUACCUUUUGCAUCAUGAUUUAGCAAGAAUAAUCAAGCAAAACGACACUUUAAGCUUGCCCCCCCGAAACCCAAGUGAGCUACUCACAAGCAGCUAUCUCCUGAGCAAACCCAUCUCUGUUGCAAAAGAGUGGGACGACUUGUUAGUAGAGGUGAAAAGCCAACCGAACUGGGUGAUAGCUGGUUGCCUGCGAAACGAAUCUAAGUUCCCCCUUAAUUUUUCCACAAGGACAACAACCAACCCUAACGAACUAAAUCAAGGGUAAUUUAAAGGAGGUACAGCUCCCUUAAAAAAGAUCACACUCUCAAGCAGCGGAUAAGCCCAAACCCAAAAACAAUGUGGGCCUUUAAGCAGCCACCACCAAAGAAUGCGUCAAAGCUCAUUUAACACCAAAUCCUAAAACCCUGCGACUCCCUCUCCCCUAGCAAGCUAACCUAUUACCAAUAGGAGAACCCAUGCUAAAAUGAGUAACUUGGACAACCCCUCUAUGGCGCAAGCAUACAUCCUCCACAAUUAUUAACAAACCACAAGAUGUACACUAAGCCCAACAAGACUAAACAUCAAAACGCCUUGUUAACCCAACUUACGGAGCGCCUCCAACUAGACGAUUAAAACCUGCAGAAGGAACUAGGCAACCACAAGGCCCGACUGUUUACCAAAAACAUAGCCUUCAGCAGACCAAGUAUUGAAGGUGACGCCUGCCCAGUGACCCAAACGUUCAACGGCCGCGGUAUCCUAACCGUGCGAAGGUAGCGCAAUCAAUUGUCUCAUAAAUUGAGACUUGUAUGAAUGGCUGAACGAGGUCUUACCUGUCUCCUCCAGGUAAUCAGUGAAAUUGAUCUUCCCGUGCAAAAGCAGGAAUAACCCCAUAAGACAAGAAGACCCUGUGGAACUUGAAAAUCAACAGUCACCCCCCACAAACAAUUUCCCCACUAGGAACCACUCACAACCGGGAUAACUAUUGACUCACAUUUUUUGGUUGGGGCGACCUUGGAGAAAAACAGAUCCUCCAAAUAUAGGACCACCCCUCCUAACUAAGAACAACUAAUCUACGUACUAACAGUAACCAGACCCAAUAUAAUUGACCAUUGGACUAAGCUACCCCAGGGAUAACAGCGCAAUCUCCUUCAAGAGCCCCCAUCGACAAGGAGGUUUACGACCUCGAUGUUGGAUCAGGACAUCCUAGUGGUGUAGCCGCUACUAAGGGUUCGUUUGUUCAACGAUUAACAGUCCUACGUGAUCUGAGUUCAGACCGGAGUAAUCCAGGUCGGUUUCUAUCUAUGAAAUAUUCUUUCUAGUACGAAAGGACCGAAAGAAUAGGACCUAUACCCCAAGCACGUCCUCACCCCAAGCAGUGAACCCAACUCAACUGCCAAAGACCUAACCACACAUCAACAUCCUAGAAAAGGACCG